rnacentral:lncRNA from 1 species
UUUUUAGGGCUGCACCUAUGGCAUUAGGAGGUUCCAAAGCUAGGGGUCAAAUUGGAGCUAUAGUUGCCAGCCUACGCCAUAGCCACAGCAACAGCAACAUGAGAUCUGAGCUACGUCUGCGACCUACACCACAGCUCAUGGCAACAUCAGAUCCUUAAUCCACUGAGUGAGGCCAGGGAUCAAACUUGGGUCCUCACGGAUGCUAGUCAGAUUUGUUUCUGCUGAGUCAUGACAGGACCUCCUCUGGGGUCUCUUCUUUAAGGUACUAAUCCCAUUCAUGUGGGCUCCACCCUCAUGACCCAGGCUUAUCCCAAAGGCCCCACCUGCUAAUACCAUCAAUUUGGGGAUUAGAUUUCACAUAUGAAUUUUAGAGGGGUACAAACAUGCAGCCUAUAGUACCUGUCAAGUGCAAGCUUUUUCUUAGAAGCCCCAGGGCAUGGUGUGACAAACACAGCCUUCAGAGUCAAACAAGAUGACUGAUUGGGACAAGUCAUUUCACCUCAUUGAACUACAGUAUUUCACCUCAAAAAUGAAGGUACCUAAACCUCAUAGGCACCUAAUAAGGGAUAGAAAUCACAGUGUCCUGACAAGGUGGCUGGUACAAGGACAGGCUCAAAAUGUGUAUCUGGUAAAAGUACUCUCUCCACCUUUUCUAAUCAGAGCUACAUAGGAAGAACUGAUGGUAUCAUUUGGGAGCCUAAGAAAUAAGUGCCUAUUAAUAGAACUGAAUUGUCAAGGGAUGAGCUGAGGUCAUAAUUGAUUCCUCUACAGCAAUGCUUCUCUACACAGUCAGACCCAAAGCCUCUCUUUUAUAAUAAUUAUUUUAAUGUCAUGUAUUGGUCAAGGCUCUCCAGAGAAACCGAAUGAAUGGGAUACACAUAUACAGAUACAUAAGAGGAGAUUUAUUACAGGAAUUUGCUCACGUGAUUAUGGAGGCUGAGAUACGCCAUCUGCAAGCUAGAGAGCCAAGGCAGCUGGUGGUAUAAUUCAGUCCAAAUCAGAAGGCUCUGAUUCAAAGAUAGACGCACACUUGUGUUCAUAGCAGCACUAUUUACAAUGCGAUACAUAUAUGUAAUGGAAUACUACUCAGCCACAAAACCAAAUGAAAUAAUGCCAAUGUAGCAACAUAGGUGGACCUAGACAUUAUUAAACUAAGUGAAAUAAACCGAAAAGAGAAAGACAAAUACCAUAUGAUAACAGUUGUAUAGAUUAAUAUAGUACAGAGGUAGUUUUAGUAAUAUGGCUGAAAAGGUGCCAAAAAUUUUAAGAGAAUAUAGAAGUUCUACAACCAGCAAAAGGAAACUAUGUAUGGUGUAGGGAUCAGACUAGGGUUUGUAGACCUGUUCUGCUCUUUACUAGCUUUGUGACCACAAAUGAUCAAACAAAUAAACAAAACCCUGUUCCCACAGGUUGAAGAGGGAUAUUUUAAAGUAUCAUCCAUGUUACAGGCUCCUUGGUAAAUGUUCUACUAACAUUAUUUUCUUUAUUUUUAUUUUUAAAAUUUCAUUAUAGUUGAUUUACAAUGUUAUAUUGGUAUCACUUUUAUGUGGAAUCUGAAAUACAACACAGGAGCCCCCACUGUGGCACAGUGGGUUAAGGAUCCGACAUUGUCUCUGUAUCAGCUUGGGUGGCUGCUGAGGUGAGGGUUCAAUCCCCAGCCUGAUGCAGUGGGUUUAGGAUCCAGUGUUGCUACAGCUGCUGCAUAGGUUGCAAUUGCAGCUCGGAUUCUAUCCCUGGGCCAGGAACUUCCAUAUGUCACAGGUAUGGCCAAAAAUAAAAUAAAUAAAAUUUUAAAAUAAAAUACAAUGCAAAUGAACUUAUAUAUGAAGCAGAGAGAGACUCACAGACAUAGAGAACAGAACAGAGGAGGGUGGGAGAAGGAUGGAUUGGGAGUUGAGGAUUAACAUAUGCAAACUAUUACAUUUAGAAAGGAUAAACGACAAGGUCCUACUGGAUUGCACAGGGAACUAUAUCUAAUCUGGGAUAGACCAUGAUGGAAAAUAAUAUAUAUAUAUAUAAUAAUAUUAUAAUGGAGAGGAUAAUGGAGUCACUUUGUUGUACAGCAGAAAUUGGCACAACACUGUAAGUCAACUAUACUUUAAUUAAUAAAAAAAGAAAAAAUAUCCUGUGAUAAACUAAUGGAAAAGAAUAUGAAAAAGAACGUGUGUGUGUGUGUGUGUGUAUAACUGAAUCACUAUACAGUAGAAAUUAAGACAACAUUGUAAAUCAACUAUACUUCAAUAAAAUUUUUUAAAAAUCCAGCAAUAAAAAGAAAAAGCAAUGUAUAAUAUUACUUAAAUAAAUGUAGUUCAAUGUAUAAAUGCCUAAGCACACUGUAUCAGAAGAAAAAAAUGCCUCCCCUACCCUUUCACAAGCCCCCGGAGGAGGGUGGUCCUGCCUCCUAUCCAGCUCUAAGGGCAAGAUGAGCAGGGACCAGGAAACAGGCAACUCCUAGUACAUUAAUCUUCACCCUCUCACUCCUUUGGAUGACCUCACACGCCUAGUCUCUACCUUGACUCCAUACACCAACAAGGAAUGAAGUGAAGCACUGGAUUUAUUUCGGCCCUUUCUAUUCUCCCCCACAAAGCUCUGCCUCUCCAGGGCCAGGAAGAUGUGGCAGAAGCACCCGGAAGGCCUUUAAUGCCCUGUGUCUCAGUCUCAGAGGAUAUGAGGGCCAUCAGGGCUCCCUGUUCUUUCUGGGGGACAGAGGAGAGCCCAGAGCUAUGCUCAGUUGUCUCACUCACCUUCUACUUCUUAGCAGGAACUGGGGCCCUGCCCUCUGACCCCAGCUCUCUCCAGCUUGCUGGCUGUUCCUCUCUGGGGCUCGCUGGUUGUCUGGUCCCUGGCUUUUCUACAGUCGUGCAGACCCAGUUGACAGGUCCUCGCUCCUUGAGGUUGGGCCUGGGCCUGCAAGAAUGGAUAAGGGAUCCCAAAGCCCUAGGCACAAGAAGGACAGUAUCAACUGCCCUCCUGCAACAGGACUCUCUCGCAGGCUGACCAUGAGCUGACCACAAGGGUGCUCACUGGUAGGGAAGGGGUGGGGGCCUGAGGUGCAUCAGCACAGCAGGGGGAGCAAGAUCUGUCACUCAGGCCAGGCUCCCUUUUGGCUCUUUCUUCUAGGGCCAAAUGAGUCAUUUGGAAGAGACAUGGAAACCCUUUCAAAAUGGUGCCUCAUGCCACAGUACCCCUGAGCAGGGUUUUUGCUCAAGCCCAAGAACAGGCGCCUCUCUGACCACCAGGGGGUUGUAUUCAAGCCUACACAGAACUUGCUUUAAAGCUAUGAAGCAGCAUUCUGAGUCUGCUCUAAGCUGAUUCUUAGGGCUAGUUGCUCCCCAGGGACCACCAGCUCUGUGCAUGAAGAGCAGGGGCCUGAGAUGUCUGGCCUGUUUCCUCUGGCCCAACUCCAGUGCCAACCA